CUUGUCCGUUUUCAUUAAGUUGACGCCUACUUAGAUUAAAAUAACCACAUGUGCUCUACAUACAGAAGAAUUUCGUAAAUUCAAUCCAAACCUAUUAAAUAAUUUAGAAAAUAUCAAUGCCGUUACCGUGAAAUAGCAAUGAGUAACAUCUAAAAAUUUUCGGGAAAAGCAGCAGACGACACGAGAAAUGACACGACCUUGUCCGAUUCCAUAGAAGUUGACUUCUACUUAGUUUAAAUAACUAUAUGUACCGGACUUACUUCAGAAUUUGGCAAAAAAUUCAACUCGUUACAUACUUUUUUAAAAACAAUAAUACUGUUACCGUUGGAUGAAAAUGAGAAACAUCUUAUUAAUGACGGAUACUUUUUUAGUAACAUCGCUUUCGAACAGUACCUGCCCUGGGUCGAUAAGCAACUUAGCCAUUUGUGCGAGUCAACAGAAGACACAAGGAACACUCUUACAUUAUACUUCGUUUAUUGUCUUCGUUUCAUUUACUUCAGUCGAUAAGACAUGCAACAAUACUUCGGCAAAGGGACAAUGAACGUCCAGACAACUUAUGUCAUACUUUGGAAAGACUGGCACAUCCUAUGGAUAACCACUACCAUCAGUUGAAGGAAUGACAAAUGAAGAGAAGAGCUCCAGCACAAACAGACAAGGUGGCCUAUUGCUAAGAAAGUUAAAGACCCAAAACUCCAGCAUGAAUUUGCUCCCAUGAUCAACAUUGCAUGAACGGUCUAAGACUACCGAGUACCAGCACACUGAAUUGUCAAAGUCUAACGAACUGAAGGCAUCUCGUCAACAUCCUUCAGUUUUUGACAUCGUUCUUUGUGAUAUGCAGUAGGGAGCAUCUUCCACUUUUUUUUCCAAGAGUUGCGUAAAGAACGCAAAAUCGUUAAUGAUUAGAAGCACGAAUUUCCAGGUAGUUUCUGCGUUUCUGAAUUCAAAUUCCAUACGUGAAGGUAAGGUGACAUUUUUAACGGUUAUGGUAUUUACUUAAAUAGCCAAGUAAGCAGUUGCAUGUAUUGCAAACGUAAAUAAGCAUGAAGGAGAUAUUUCUCUAGGUAUAAGGGUCAACGCAUUUUGACAUUUAUACAUAAAUUUCAAAGUCAGUGGACCCUUUUUGGUUUAUCUUUCACCCCAUUAUAGAUUAUGCCUUUACUGGCGUAAUCACGAGUUCCCGUGUAGAGACUCUAGAUUUGAUAAAAUAAAAUU